rfam:Lodderomyces elongisporus NRRL YB-4239 supercont1.2 genomic scaffold, whole genome shotgun sequence.
GUCCCCAUCGUCCAACGGUUAGGAUGCGUGAUUCCGGAGCACGUGAUGCGGGUUCGAGUCCCGCUGGGGACU